GUGGGGAAUUUUGGACAAUGGGCGCAAGCCUGAUCCAGCAAUGCCGCGUGCAGGAAGAAGGCCUUCGGGUUGUAAACUGCUUUUGUACGGAACGAAACGGUCCGGGUUAAUACCCUGGGCUAAUGACGGUACCGUAAGAAUAAGCACCGGCUAACUACGUGCCAGCAGCCGCGGUAAUACGUAGGGUGCAAGCGUUAAUCGGAAUUACUGGGCGUAAAGCGUGCGCAGGCGGUUUUGUAAGACAGGCGGGAAAUCCCCGGGCUCAACCUGGGAAUUGCGCUUGUGACUGCAAGGCUGGAGUGCGGCAGAGGGGGAUGGAAUUCCGCGUGUAGCAGUGAAAUGCGUAGAUAUGCGGAGGAACACCGAUGGCGAAGGCAAUCCCCUGGGCCUGCACUGACGCUCAUGCACGAAAGCGUGGGGAGCAAACAGGAUUAGAAACCCCAGUAGUCC
rnacentral:rRNA from 1 species